rnacentral:rRNA from 1 species
GGGGGAUAUUGCACAAUGGAGGAAACUCUGAUGCAGCAAUGCCGCGUGAGGGAAGACGGUCUUCGGAUUGUAAACCUCUGUCCUUGGUGAAGAUAAUGACGGUAGCCAAGGAGGGAGCUCCGGCUAACUACGUGCCAGCAGCCGCGGUAAUACGUAGGGAGCAAGCGUUGUCCGGAUUUACUGGGUGUAAAGGGUGCGUAGGCGGCUUUUUAAGUCGGGCGUGAAAGCUGUGGGCUUAACCCACAAAUUGCGUUCGAAACUGGAAGGCUUGAGUGAAGUAGAGGUAGGCGGAAUUCCCGGUGUAGCGGUGAAAUGCGUAGAGAUCGGGAGGAACACCAGUGGCGAAGGCGGCCUACUGGGCUUUAACUGACGCUGAGGCACGAAAGCAUGGGUAGCAAAC